UACAGAGGGUGCGAGCGUUAAUCGGAAUUACUGGGCGUAAAGCGCACGUAGGCGGCUUGGUAUGUCGGGUGUGAAAUCCCCGGGCUCAACCUGGGAACUGCAUCCGAAACUGCCUUGCUAGAGUAUGGGAGAGGGAAGUGGAAUUUCCGGUGUAGCGGUGAAAUGCGUAGAUAUCGGAAGGAACAUCAGUGGCGAAGGCGACUUCCUGGACCAAUACUGACGCUGAGGCACGAAGGCCAGGGGAGCAAACGGG
rnacentral:rRNA from 1 species